GACGAACGCUGGCGGCGUGCUUAACACACGCAAGUCGAACGGAAAGGCCCUGCUUUUGUGGGGUGCUCGAGUGGCGAACGGGUGAGUAACACGUGAGUAACCUGCCAUUGACUUUGGGAUAACUUCAGGAAACUGGGGCUAAUACCGGAUAGGAGCUCCUGCUGCAUGGUGGGGGUUGGAAAGUUUCGGCGGUUGGGGAUGGACUCGCGGCUUAUCGGCUUGUUGGUGGGGUAGUGGCUUACCAAGGCUUUGACGGGUAGCCGGCCUGAGAGGGUGACCGGCCAAAUUGGGACAGAUAUACGGCCCACACGCCUAGGGGCGGAAGCGGUGGCGAAGGUUUCUCAAUGGUCGGAAGGAUGAUGCAGCAAGGCCGGGUGCGGAAUGUCGGCCAUCUGGUUGUAGACCGCUUUCGCCGGUAAGGAAGCGUGAGUGACGGUAAUAUGUAGAGAAGCGGUACCUUAUGACGUG
rnacentral:rRNA from 1 species